AUCCAGCUGACAAGUCCCAAAUAGGACGAAACGCGCAUUAAACUGGAU
rnacentral:hammerhead_ribozyme from 1 species